UACAGAGGUCUCAAGCGUUUGUUCGGAUUCAUUGGGCGUAAAGGGUGCGUAGGUGGCGUGGUAAGUCGGGUGUGAAAUUUCGGAGCUUAACUCCGAAACUGCAUUCGAUACUGCGGUGCUUGAGGACUGGAGAGGAGACUGGAAUUCAUGGUGUAGCAGUGAAAUGCGUAGAGAUCAUGAGGAAGACCAGUGGCGAAGGCGGGUCUCUGGACAGUUCCUGACACUGAGGCACGAAGGCCAGGGGAGCAAACGGG
rnacentral:rRNA from 1 species